ACAAGCUUUAGCUUAAAACCCAAAGGACUUGACGGUAUCCCACCUAACUAGAGGAGCCUGUUCUAUAAUCGAUAAUCCACGAUAUACCUAACCAUUUCUUGCUUUCAGCCUGUAUACCUCCGUCGUAAGCUUACUAUGUGAAUAUGCAGUAGUGAGCCAGAAGGCCACCACCCAUACGUCAGGUCAAGGUGCAGCUCACGAAAUGGAAGUAAUGGGCUACAAUUUCUAACCUAGAACAAACGAAAUACUAUAUGAAAUAUAGUCACAAAGGAGGAUUUAGUAGUAAAUAAGAAAUAGAGAGCCUUAUUUAACUCGGCCCUGGGAUGUGUACACACC
rnacentral:rRNA from 2 species